rnacentral:rRNA from 1 species
AUGAAAAUCAUUAGUUGGAACCGCCGGGGGCUCGGGAAUGGCCCGACAGUUCGAUCUCUUCUCGAGCUGGGGAGAGCGGAGGAUCCCGAUGUGUUGUUCUUGGCGGAGACAAGGCUUACGGAGAAGGAGCUGGAGAGUUUUUGGUGGAAGCUAGGGCUAGCUCACUUGUGUGCCUGGAACCUAGUGGGUAGGAGCCGAGGGGGUGCAAUGUUCUGGCGACGAGGGCUUGACGUUUCUCUUCGUUCGUAUGGCAGGAGGCACGUAGAUGUGGAUGUGAAGGAGGAGGAUGGCUCAGUUUGGCGUCUGACGGGUGGUUAUGGGGAGUCGGCUACGGAGAGAAAGAAAGAAACGUGGAGAACACUUCGACUUCUCAAGCAACAGCACCAGCAUGACCGUACAUGGCCAUGUCUUGGAGAUUUCAACGAAAUUCUGUCUGGUGUAGAGAAGGUGGGCGGAGCUGAUGCUACGUCUUGA